AAAACGUUGUAAAGUUUUUUAAAA
rnacentral:snRNA from 1 species